rnacentral:rRNA from 1 species
UACGUAGGGUGCAAGCGUUAAUCGGAAUACUGGGCGUAAAGCGUGCGCAAGCGGUUUUGUAAGUCUGUCGUGAAAUCCCCCGGGCUCAACCUGGGAAUUGCGAUGGAGACUGCAAGGCUAGAAUCUGGCAGAGGGGGGGUGGAAUUCCACGUGUAGCAGUGAAAUGCGUAGAGAUGUGGAGGAACACCGAUGGCGAAGGCAGCCCCCUGGGCUGAGAUUGACGCUCAGGCACGAAAGCGUGGGGAGCAAACAGG